rnacentral:tRNA from 1 species
AGGGCUGUAGCGCAGAGGUCGUCGCGCCAUAGCUGCGAGCUGGAGGACGUCGGUUCGAUUCCGACCAGUCCUGCCC